GUGGCUGUAGUUUAGUGGUGAGAAUUCCACGUUGUGGCCGUGGAGACCUGGACUCAAAUCCCGCAGCCACA
rnacentral:tRNA from 1 species